rnacentral:rRNA from 1 species
GUGGGGAAUCUUAGACAAUGGGCGCAAGCCUGAUCUAGCCAUGCCGCGUGAGUGAUGAAGGCCCUAGGGUUGUAAAGCUCUUUCAGCUGGGAAGAUAAUGACGGUACCAGCAGAAGAAGCCCCGGCUAACUCCGUGCCAGCAGCCGUGGUAAUACGGAGGGGGCUAGCGUUGUUCGGAAUUACUGGGCGUAAAGCGCGCGUAGGCGGACUGAAAAGUUGGGGGUGAAAUCCCGGGGCUCAACCUCGGAACUGCCUUCAAAACUAUCAGUCUGGAGUUCGAGAGAGGUGAGUGGAAUUCCGAGUGUAGAGGUGAAAUUCGUAGAUAUUCGGAGGAACACCAGUGGCGAAGGCGGCUCACUGGCUCGAUACUGACGCUGAGGUGCGAAAGCGUGGGGAGCAAACAGGAUUAGAAACCCCUGUAGUCC